UUGGAUUUCUGUGACGAGGACAGACACAGGAUUAAAGAUUUACUGGAGAAUGUGGGCAUCGAUCCCACUACCUCUCGCAUGCUAAGCGAGCGCUCUACCAUUUGAGCUAAUUCCCCAUGUUUUGUUCAUUAUAGCAAUGUAGCAAGUCAAUGGCGCGGACAAAGUGCCGCGUUUAUGUAGGGCCCAAUUUUUUUGCAGGAAAAUGAAUAUACUUUCUCCUUACAGACGCACAGAGUUCACAGUCCACCUCAUUGACAAGGGUCUUGUCUUGCGCUUCCAGCAACUGAAAGCAACCAAAGACGCACAAAGGAUUCACAGUCCACGGCAUUGACAAGGGUCUUGUCUUGCGCUUCCAGCAACUGAAAGGAACCAAAGACGCACAAAGGAUUCACAGUCCACGGCAUUGACAAGGGUCUUGUCUUGCGCUUCCAGCAACUGAAAGGAACCAAAGACGCACAAAGGAUUCACAGUCCACGGCAUUGACAAGGGUCUUGUCUUGCGCUUCCAGCAACUGAAAGGAACCAAAGACGCACAAAGGAUUCACAGUCCACGGCAUUGACAAGGGUCUUGUCUUGCGCUUCCAGCAACUGAAAGGAACCAAAGACGCACAAAGGAUUCACAGUCCACGGCAUUGACAAGGGUCUUGUCUUGCGCUUCCAGCAACUGAAAGGAACCAAAGACGCACAAAGGAUUCACAGUCCACGGCAUUGACAAGGGUCUUGUCUUGCGCUUCCAGCAACUGAAAGGAACCAAAGACGCACAAAGGAUUCACAGUCCACGGCAUUGACAAGGGUCUUGUCUUGCGCUUCCAGCAACUGAAAGGAACCAAAGACGCACAAAGGAUUCACAGUCCACGGCAUUGACAAGGGUCUUGUCUUGCGCUUCCAGCAACUGAAAGGAACCAAAGACGCACAAAGGAUUCACAGUCCACGGCAUUGACAAGGGUCUUGUCUUGCGCUUCCAGCAACUGAAAGGAACCAAAGACGCACAAAGGAUUCACAGUCCAUGGCAUUGACAAGGGUCUUGUCUUGCGCUUCCAGCAACUGAAAGGAACCAAAGACGCACAAAGGAUUCACAGUCCAUGGCAUUGACAAGGGUCUUGUCUUGCGCUUCCAGCAACUGAAAGGAACCAAAGACGCACAAAGGAUUCACAGUCCACGGCAUUGACAAGGGUCUUGUCUUGCGCUUCCAGCAACUGAAAGGAACCAAAGACGCACAAAGGAUUCACAGUCCAUGGCAUUGACAAGGGUCUUGUCUUGCGCUUCCAGCAACUGAAAGGAACCAAAGACGCACAGAGUUCACAGUCCACCUCAUUGACAAGGGUCUUGUCAAUGACCCUUGUCUUGCGCUUCCAGCAACUGAAAGCAACCAAAGACGCACAAAGGAUUCACAGUCCAUGGCAUUGACAAGGGUCUUGUCUUGCGCUUCCAGCAACUGAAAGGAACCAAAGACGCACAAAGGAUUCACAGUCCAUGGCAUUGACAAGGGUCUUGUCUUGCGCUUCCAGCAACUGAAAGGAACCAAAGACGCACAGAGUUCACAGUCCACCUCAUUGACAAGGGUCUUCUCUUGCGCUUCCAGCAACUGAAAGCAACCAAAGACGCACAAAGGAUUCACAGUCCACGGCAUUGACAAGGGUCUUGUCUUGCGCUUCCAGCAACUGAAAGGAACCAAAGACACACAGAGUUCACAGUCCACCUCAUUGACAAGGG